AGCUGCCCCAUUCUGAAAUCAUAGGACACACUGGCAAGAGGGCUGUCCAAAGAGGAGUACCCAGAGCCAUGGUAGCCUUGGAACAGGAUAGAGGUGCUCCUCUCUGCCUCUGUCCUGCGGAACUUCAAAUGGACCGCCAGCAAGGAGACAGAAGUGGUGUAAAGUUCGUGUCGUGGAGAAGUGCCCAGGGAAGGAGAAAGAGUUCUCUCAGUCUCCACUGGAAGAUAAGAGCCCAGGAACCCCAGAGAAGUCUAACUGGUCCAAAGCCCAUGGCUCCCAGAGAGAGACAGCGAGAGAGGGAACACAAGCAGGUGGAGUGUGAGAGGGAGAAGCCGACUCCCUGCAGAGCAGGGAGCCCGAUGCGGGGCUCGAUCCCAGGACCCUAGGAUCAUGACCUGAGCCGAAGGCAGACGCUUAAGGGCUGAGCCACCCAGGCGCCCCCCCCGCCCACGACUGUUUUCCUGCGCUCCACAGUGAGGAUACUGACCUGCCAUUCCUUUCAUAAAAUGACGGUCAUCAUCCAUGGUAGCUGGGGGAGUCAUCAGUGCCAGUCAGAACUAUUCUGACCCUCUCACCUUCCAGGCACACGGGAGGAUUCAUCUUCCUGGCCCCCAUUUCAGUGAGGUCUGGAAAAGUGACUUGUUUUUACCAA